AAACAUUGGCAGACUCUUUAAUUUUUCUCUUCUGGGAUAAGAUGAAAUCUGUAUGUCAUUUUACAAGUAGCAAAUAACUUUUGCUACAAAGCACACUGCGCUAAGUCUGUUUUUAUUAUAGGUACUUCUGCAGGAUCAGAUGGGUGGGCUUCAAGUUCUUCAUUAGAAUCAGUGGGUUAGUAGUCCUCCUGUGAAUGGAGCACUUGUUAUACACAGUUGAGAUCCUUACAGGGAUGGGCCUUGAAGAUGAUAUUGAGGGUGGCCACAAGAAGAAAAAGGAAGGGAAAGGCAUCUUCUGCUGAUAUGGCUUAGGUAGUUGAUUAUAGAUGUCUACAAGCUGCCACUUUUUAGGUAGAAGAAAAAAUAAUUGUGUGUAUAUUAUACUAUACAGGCUAAUUCAUUUGUAAUACAUUAUGGACCCUUCAAAAUUGAUUCGAGGAGGCCGGGUACGUCUGUUGAUCUUUUAUUGCUAAUUUAGCUUAAAAUUAGUUGCUGCAAGUAUGAAUUGGUGUCAAUCAUUGGUUGUGAGGCCUAUGAUCUUUGGGGAAAAUUUGAAGUUAUAUGCUUUAGGGUUCAAAUGUAUGUUUUUGGGGCAAAAAGAAAGUGAUAGAUUGCUCAAAGAAGAUUUCAAAAUUUUCUGAGAAGGAAAAUAGUCUUCAAGUCCCAAUUUUAGGUGUUCUAUGGUUGCUUGCUGAUUGGCAAUUUUAUUCUGCUAUUUGUGUGACCUUAAUGGACUGUUAAGCACUGAAUUUGACUUGAGACUUCACUUGAUCCUUCAAAAUAUA